rnacentral:rRNA from 1 species
UCCAGACUCCUACGGGAGGCAGCAGUGGGGGAUAUUGCACAAUGGGGGAAACCCUGAUGCAGCGACGCCGCGUGGGUGAAGAAGUAUUUCGGUAUGUAAAGCCCUAUCAGCAGGGAAGAACGAAGACGGUACCUGACUAAGAAGCCCCGGCUAACUACGUGCCAGCAGCCGCGGUAAUACGUAGGGGGCGAGCGUUAUCCGGAUUCACUGGGUGUAAAGGGAGCGUAGACGGCCGUGCAAGCCAGGAGUGAAAGCCCGGGGCCCAACCCCGGGACUGCUCUUGGAACUGUGCGGCUGGAGUGCGGGAGGGGCAGGCGGAAUUCCUGGUGUAGCGGUGAAAUGCGUAGAUAUCAGGAGGAACACCGGCGGCGAAGGCGGCCUGCUGGACCGCGACUGACGUUGAGGCUCGAAAGCGUGGGGAGCGAACAGGAUUAGAUACCCGUGUA